GGUUCCGUGGCGCAACCAGAAGACGCAAUCGCCUCAGAAGCGAUCGCCCUCCUCCGGGGCAUGCAGGUGCAAAUCCUGCCGGAACCG
rnacentral:tRNA from 1 species